GACUUAAAUCGAUGACGUCUAUGGCCUGCGCUGAACAUCAUCACCACCAUGAGGUGGGCACAUGACCAAUAUAUUCAUAGUUGGACAGUAUUUCCCAUCCCAUACAUGAAGCUAGUAAAGACAUGGAGAGACACAGUCUUCACUAUAUUUGCCAGGUCAUCAUAAAGCUCCCACACACAUGGAGCUCUUCGGCAGUAUGCAAUGUAAUGUCCCAGACCAUCUUUAGUCAAGCUUCCCUUGAAAGCGAUGACUCCUCUCAAAGAGAAUGUCUUUCCUUGGAGAGCAACAGUGGGGGGAAAUUCACUCAAAGGAAACUGAGUUGUGUUUGCAAGGUCAGUGUCAAUCCAUGUUAUUUCUCCAAUGCUGUAGCUGUGAGUAACAGUUCCAGCACAGAGCAUUUUUCCUGAGGUGCUGGCUCCUGUUUUGAAUUCAAGUGGACAUUCUGAUUCCUUCGGUAGUGGGCGAAGGCAGGGAGACUCCGGAAGGAAGAAUCCAUUUUCCACUGAAAUGUCAAGCUGAGCCAUGCCACAGUCCAUCAGCACAGAAAUGUCAGGAGAAACAAAUGUGGCUGAGCUUGCUGUGAGGUUGGUGCUUUUGAAGAGGGGGACCAUUACUCCUGUCCAAAGUGCCGCGUAGGUCAGUCUGGAUCUCGUCAAAAGAAUCCACUUGAUGCAUUUCAUUUGGAUCUUCAGCUGGAAUGAUGAUGGAGUCUUCUGUGAUCUGGGUUUUUAGAUAUUUUUUGCACAUCUCUGAUUCGAGAGGGACUCCAGAACUAUCAUCACCCUCUGCCUCACUGAGGGCCACAACAGUGAUG